GGAGUGGGCUCCGUGCUACGCGCGGAAUUCGCGGCGACCAAAGGGAGUAACAGCUGUACCCUCAAGGAGCUAACAUGAAGUUAUGCACAACAAACAAUUGCUAACGCCCUAUAAAGUCAAAAUAUGACCGGUGUUUAAAGAUGAGUAAAAACUUCCUUAGGGACCAAACCAGCAAGUAGACUCAGCUUUGGGAGCCAUCACCCUGGUCCACCUUGAUGUGUCAGCACCACAGAGAGCAGCUUACUUCAUACCCAACCCUGUAAUGCUUGAGUCACUCAAAUGGUGGUAAAGAGGCAAACUAGAUUGUUUCUAAUCGGUGUGCACCUUUGGGACACAUAUAUAACCACCCGAUGCACAUCAUUGGUGACCUACGAGCAUACCUACCUCAGCAGUGGGAAUAGGCCCUAGUACGUGAGAAUGUGCCUUAAACAGUGUCUGGCACAUAGUGUGGGAACUGAGGAAUGCAGAAUGGGAAGACUACUGAGGCUACUUAGAGAUGCCUCUCCCAGUGCUCCUUCAGGAUGCUGCUUCCAUCUAUGUUAAGCCCUGGGUUAACUCUGCAGAGAGGCCCCCAGUCACACAGGUUCCUUCUGGCCCAGAGUGACCCCCCUGUGGACGACUGCCGAGUGAGAGCAUGCAUGAUUACCAGAGGUUGCCCAAGCUCCAAAGGAAGAACUCCAUGAUCAACACCCCUGACACUGCGUGGAAAUGGACACGACUGAUGAAUGUGAAAAGGAAUCAUUGAAAUGGAAAAUCCUGGAGCUGAAAGUGGCCGUAUCCAGCUCUACUCUGUGAAUUUUGUAUUUUUUCUUUUAUUUAUUCAUCAUCUCAACAGACAUGUUUUGCGAAUAUACUACAUGCAAAUUACUACAUUGGGUGCUAGGAAAAGAACUGUGAACAAGGGAAGAGGCCAUGUGAGGACACAGUGAGAAGGCAGCCAUAUACAAGCCUGGAAGAGAGGCUUCACCAGAAAUCAACCCAGAUGGCACCUUGAUCUUGGACUUCUAGCUUCCUGAACUCUUCUCGAAGACCAGUCCUCGUGAAGAAAGUGAGGGAAUACUCAUCCUUACUUCCCUCCCACUUCUGUCAGAGGGAACAAUAUUUCCCAAAGUGUGGAAUUCAGACUAGUGCUGAAUAUGUAAGCUGAAAGCAUCCUGACCGAUAAGAGUGGUUAAACUGGUUUCUUCAGUCAGUGAGGAGGGAAUUGGCUCCUGGCUCCACCACAGGAAUUAUAUGCCCUCUUCAAAGCUGCUUCCUCCUCUGAGACGCAGACAUCUCCUGACACCUCCCCUAGUCCAGGCAGAGGAAAUGGAUGGCUUGAUGAUCUGAUGCAAAGGAGAAAGGAAGAAGCAUCAGCCCCACUUGGAGACAUGCUGUAGCUGUGCACCACAGAUGCUAACUGAAUUAAGGAGGCUGCAUAGAACAGCAGGGAACAGUCUUGGGCUAAGGAAACCAGGUUAUGCAGUCAACAGUUUUGACAGCUACAAAGGGACCCAGAGCAGACUUUUCUCCUUUGCCUGAACUCUCCAAGGAUCCAGAGCCUAGGUACCAGCAGAGGAUUCUUGGGCCCAUCUGCCACCUCAUAGAGUCCGGAUGAAUUUGGACUGGUUGCUGCGCUCUCCUCCGAGGCUCUGAAGCUCCCCCUCUGUCCAGGCUGAUCUCCCCACAGGUGAGGGAACCUCCCAGGGUGUGGGAACCUUUCCUCUUUCACAGCUCCCUCCCUGGGGCGCAGGUCCUGUCCUGAUUCCUUUCUGUCUUUCUUCUUCUUUUGUCUUAUCUGGUUAUGUGGAGGUUUUCUUGCCCUUUCAGAAGUCUGAGGCCAGUGUUUAGAUUUUCUGUGCAAAUUGUUCCACUUGUAGAUGUAUUUUUGAUGUAUCUGUGGGAGGAGGUGAGCUCCAUGUCCUGUUCCUCUGCCAUCCUGAUUCCUCAGCCCUUGCUAAAUUAAUUUAAGUAAUGGGAAUCCACUGACUAUCCAGGUCACUUCAAAUAAGAUAAAAUACUCAAACAUUAUUUGCUAAACAGGUCUAUAUUUACCUACUUUUGUCUCCUUACAAGAAGGAAACUAAAGAUGUUUGGGUUUACUAGACACAACUCUUGUACCACAUUGAGGAAAGAAAUUAUGCUAUGAGAAGAUGUAUGUUUCUAGAGGUUAAGUGAUAUGCCAAUCAGGAAUGCUGGUAUGACAGACAGUUCACAAUUACUUGCUACUUGUCAGUUUUCACUAGAGAUUAACGUUUUUAAGGGUUAAAAUUAUAAUAUGUAAUUAAAGCUACUAAAGAUAAUAAGGGAAACAUUUCAGUAUGCAAGGAAAGUAGGGUGUGUUUUUUUCAGCAAAAGAAGGUAUGAAGAAUGGAAGGGCAUUUUGUUAAGUGGAAAGAAUGAUUUUGUCCUAGAGCUGGUUGUUUCUGGAUGGAAAAAUAAGGGACAGAGUAACAGGAACAGAGAAAGUUGUGGAAGGUUCGUAAAAAGGGAGCCCUGAAAAGGAGUUUUGUACAUGGUCAGGCUGGGACUGGAUUAAAUUUAAUUAGGUAAGUGGAUAUUACUAUUAAAAGUAGGCUGGUGAAAGACUGGAUUUGGUUCCUCUGUUAAGAGAACAAAGUUAUCUUGAAAUACUGCUUUUGAAAACAGAUUUUGUAAGUCAUCUUUGUUUUUGAAAUCUUUUUUUUUUUUUUCUCGGUACGCGGGCCUCUCACUGUUGUGGCCUCUCCUGUUGCAGAGCACAGGCUCCGGACGCGCAGGCUCAGUGGCCAUGGCUCACGGGCCUAGCCGCUCCGCGGCAUGUGGGAUCUUCCCGGACCGGGGCACGAACCUGUGUCCCCUGCAUCGGCAGGCGGACUCUCAACCACUGCACCACCAGGGAAGCCCGAAAUCUUUUGUCACUUUAAGUGAAUAAGUAUUGUUUCACAGUGACCUAUGAUCCUAUUUGACCAAGUGUUUUGAAACCUUUUUGAUAUUUUUGACAAAAUUUCCCAAAUAACAAAUUCUAACUGAAGUUCUUUUGACUUCCAGAUAACUCUGGGAUGCUUCAAAGAAACCCUGCGACAUCUCAGAGAGAAACGUUAAGCUAAUUAGGCUAAUUUGGUAUGUUAAAUUACUUGAGAAGCACUGUCAAGUGAUUGGAGAUAAACCUUCUUAGGUUAUAUGGUAUGGGUAAAUGUCAUUAAUACAAAUAUUCCAAAAUUUAUACGGAAUUCCUAAAAAUCUGGUAUGUCCUGGUAUAAGGUUAUCAGUCAUAAUUCUAGGUGUUAUCUUAGGAUGUUGUAUGUCACAGAAAUAUCCAAGUUUCUUGUCAAUUACAUUAUAAUCAAUCAGAUCUUUAACCAUGCCAUUUUAAGUCUUGUUGUUUAUACACAAUCACUGUUUUACUCUGAUGCUUUUAUAUAUGAAGAUCUUAGUGAAGAUUCAUAAAAAGCACUUUUGAUAAAUACAAGUUUUUGAUAACUUUUAGAUCUUACUCCUGAACUGGGUAAGAAAUUUUAAAAGACUAAUGGAAAACCUGACAACUUCAUCUAGAUGAACAGGAAUUAAUUACAUGGACUGAAUGAAUUGAUGAACAUGACUUAUAAUUUUAUGACUUUUUUCUGAAAUAUGCUGGUUUUUAAUCUCUGUUUUCCAGAAAACCUUUCCUCUCACGCUAACUAUGACCUUCAACAAGUUGAUAAAGUAUACCUUUGUAAACGAAGAUGAAACAUUUAUCUUUUUCUCUCUACCUGAUCCCUCCAGAAUUUGGCUUCUCCAGUUGGCUCCCCUGUGGACUUGAUGGCUUAUUUUGACCAGAUUACAACUAGUUAUACUGUUAAACUGUUACACUGUUUUAGUUUGUUCUCGGCAUUUUCAAAUUACUUAUGCCUUGUGCCUCUCUCUGCUGCACUAUCAGUUUAUUAAUGUUACUAGCUGUAUUACUUAUGUCCUGUCUGUUUUAUGAGAUUGUUAUCUCUUACAUUACCAAAGUGUAACCAAGCCUCCAGCAAAAUUAAUGACGUCUCGAGUUAGUUGAUCAUGUACAUAACCCUACAUAGAAUAACUGUAGUAGUGCAAUUCUAGAUCUGGGAAGAAGCAACGAGGGAAAACAUUUCCUGGAUCACAACAGACUAAUAAGACAGGUGAUCCAGAGAAUUUUAGAUUAUCAACAGGGUCUAACCCACAACAAAUCAGCACACUGAGUGGCCUAGCAACAGAAUCUUCGCGUGAUCAAGGGAUGAGCCUUCCUAGCCCUGAGGGACAAAAUUGGUCAUGAAAUGCCUCCCAAAUACUGGUUGAAUUUAUGGCCAAGAGGAAGCACUGUGAGCAAAGACUGUCACCUGCCGUAUCAGUAAACAAGCCAUGAAGCCAUCAGCCUCUGCAGCCACCACCAAUGGUGCAGCCUGAGGGGAUUCAGAAUGGAGAAAAACAGGAUACUGGCCCUAGACAGUUAAGGUGCAUAUUAAAGGAAUGAUUUCAAUGAGCCAAGGGCCUUGCAUCUUCCCAUACAUAGAAAAGCACUAAAUUCAUUAACUGUAGAUGUCUGUUUUUUCAUUAAUUAGCAGCAAUCUUGUGAUGUUCGACUUCCUGAUUUUAUUUUUGCAAAAACUCCUACAUAUUCCUGGCUCCUCCCUUACCUCUUUGGAACACUCUCUCAGAGCUAUCUGAGAGGCUGUCUCCUGGGCUGAGGUCCUCAGUAUGUCUGCUGAAUAAAACAUAGUUCUCAACUUC